UACGGGGGGGCAAGCGUUGUUCGGAAUUACUGGGCGUAAAGGGCUCGUAGGCGGCCAACUAAGUCAGACGUGAAAUCCCUCGGCUUAACCGGGGAGCUGCAUCUGAUACUGGAUGGCUUGAGUUCGGGAGAGGGAUGCGGAAUUCCAGGUGUAGCGGUGAAAUGCGUAGAUAUUGGGAGGAACACCAGUGGCGAAGGCGGCUCACUGGACCGGUACUGACGCUGAUGCGCGAAAGCGUGGGGAGCGAACAGG
rnacentral:rRNA from 1 species